rnacentral:ncRNA from 1 species
AAUUUAUAACUUUUAGUAAAAAUAAUUUUAUUAUUUUUAAUUGAUGCAAAUAGCACAAAAUAAAACUAUGCAAUAAAAUUUGACAUGAAAAAUAUUUAAGUGAUAAAUAUUGUGCCAGCUAUCGCGGUUAUACUAUAACUAAAAAUUAUUAUUCUUUUCAUAUUUUUAAUAAAAUAUAAAAUUUAAAUUAAUUAGAUGUGAAAUUUAAUUAAUUAUUAUUUAAUAUAAAAAUAUAAAAUUUAAAUUAAAAACUAAGAUUAGAUACCUUAUUAUUUUAAAUUUUAAAAAUGAAGUAGUAAAAUUAAAUUUAAACUUAAUUAAGAUGGCAGUAAGAUUAUCUAUUAAAGGGAGUUGUUCUAUAAUCGAUAAUCCUCGUUAUUUUCCUUUUUUAAAAUUUUGUAUAUCGCCGUUAAAAUUCAAUUUGAGAUUGAAUUAAUUAUUUAAAAUUAUAAGUUAUCAGGUCAAGAUACAAAUAAUAAAAAGGUUUGAAAUGACUUACAAAUUGAUAUUUCAAUUUUUAUUUUUAAUUUUAGAUUUAAAAUAAAAUAGGAUUUAAAAGUAAUAAGAACUAAUAAUAUAUUAUUAUGAUUUAGAUUUAUCUUAUACACAUAUCGCCCGUCACCCUCGUAAGAGGUAAGUCGUAACAAAGUAGAUUUUUUGGAAAAAGAAUCUAGUU